CCAAACACAAUAUAUACUAUACUAAUAACAUAAUACACCAUAUAAAAUAUAUUCUACAAUAUACUAAUGACUACUAUACAAAGAUAUUGAUUUAAAAAAAAUAAAAAAAUUCAGAACCGCCGGGAAUCGUCGGAACCGGAACCGGAACCGGAUGGUACCCGGAACCGUAUGGUAGCGGUUCCGGCUCCGGAACCAUCAGAACCGGAACCGCCGGAACCGGAACCGUCAGAAUCGGAAUCGCAAACCCAAAUAAACCCAAAAACAAAACCGAAUACAGCCUUAGGUGAAUCUGGAUUAAAAAUCUGCUUUCCUUAAAAAAGUUUUUACCCCCAAAGAAAAGACCACGAUUGCAUAAUGUGGUAGCUGAAGAAGAAAAGCCUUUUGGCCAUAUGCUGAAUUAAUGUUCUAGCAAUCCCUACUUUAAUUUUUUU
rnacentral:lncRNA from 1 species